rnacentral:lncRNA from 1 species
ACAUACCAUUGCCCUACAUACAUGCUCUCUCUCACCCUCCAUCAAACAACAGGGAAGAAAAGUUAUAUAAGAACAUCUGCAACCCAUUGAUCUAGGCUUAGAGUAGAAAACAAAGGAAGGGAGGAACAAAACAAAAAAAACAUCGGCAAGAAAUAAAAGGAAAAAAUAUAUGGGGUUUCUCUGGGAGUUGAACCCCAGAUCCCCUGAUACAACACCCCACAACACAUCCACUGCGCUGCUACUACUGAUGUUAACAGGAGAAGGGAAAAUGGCAAGGUAAGC